AGCUUUGUGCAGUGGCAGUAUCAUAGCCAAUGAGGUUAAUCUGAGGUGCGAUUAUUGCUAAUAGAUAUACAUAUUGCUAACAUUUAUCAUAGGGAAUUUGUACCUGUACAUCAUAUA
ensembl:snRNA U4 U4 spliceosomal RNA